rnacentral:lncRNA from 10 species
GCGGCUCGGGUCAGGUCGGUCCCCGCGGGAGGACAGGCGCGACCCGUCCCUCAGGACCGACGGCGUGUGGCUGCGGGGGCAUGGGGUGCCCCUCUCGGCCCGGUCGCUCCAGCGAGGGGACGCUGGGCCCCAGCUUUUAAAGGCUUCAUAUUCCUGACAAAUGGAGAUCCACUGACAUGAAGAAAUUCUCAAGCAACUAGGCAACUGGGAUUGUGCAGGGGCUUGCCCCUGAUCCUAUAGUAAAAGGUCCAGCCCUCACUAGCUGAAGGUUUUUAUAGUCUUCAACAACAACCAGUCCCUACAUUUAAGAAGGUUAAUAACUGAGACAGCCUUCCUGGUGGAUCCAUCAUUUGGCCCAGCUUGUAGAAAGAUUCCCAACUAGCUCUAAUUAGUUCCAUCUUAUUUGGAGGCAGAGGUAUUCCUCAUCAUACCCAUAUCCUCAUAUAAAUUGUCCAGGGCCCUAGGUACCAGGGAGAAAGAAGACGAAGAAGGACAUAUACCAGAAGCACAUUAAUAGGCUGCUGAAAAACUCUGCCACACUUUCAGAUGACAGGUCACCUACAGAUAAAUGAUUCAAGGAUCAACCAAGUUCUGAAGUUUUUUUUUGUUUUUUUUUUUUGGGAUAGAGUCUCACUGUGUCACCCAGGCUGGAGUGCAGUGGCGUGAUCUCAGCUCACUGCAACCUCUGCCUCCCGAGUUCAAGUGAUUCUCCUGCCUCAGCCUCCCAAGUAGCUGGGAUUAUAGGUGCCUGCCACCAGGCCUGGCUAAUUAUUUUUUGUAUUUUUAGUAGAAACAUAGUUUCACUAUGUUGGCCAGGCUGGUCUUGAACUCCUGACCUUGUGAUCCACCCGCCUCAGCCUCCCAAAGUGCUGGGAUACAGGUGUGAGCCACCAUGCCCGGCCAGUUCUUAAUACUGCCAGGAGUGCUUUAGAAGGCUGGGAAUAUGGGGCGAAAGAUUAGACACCCAAGCUGUUGAAAACCACACAGAGUUUCAGUAAAUAUAUGCACAA